AACGAACGCUGGCGGCAUGCCUAACACAUGCCAGUCGAACGAUGCCUUCGGGCCUAGUGGCGCACGGGUGCGUAACGCGUGGGAACCUGCCCUUGGCUUCGGAAUAACAGUUAGAAAUGACUGCUAAUACCGGAUGAUGUCCCCCUGAGAGAGCUUGGUGACCAAAGAUUUAUCGGCCAGGGAUGAGCCCGCGUGGGAUUAGGUAGUUGGUGGGGUAAAGGCCUACCAAGCCGACGAUCCUUAGCUGGUCUGAGAGGAUGAUCAGCCACACUGGGACUGAGACACGGCCCAGACUCCUACGGGAGGCAGCAGUGGGGAAUAUUGGACAAUGGGGGGAAGCCUGAUCCAGCAAUGCCGCGUGAGUGAUGAAGGCCUUAGGGUUGUAAAGCUCUUUUACCAGGGAUGAUAAUGACAGUACCUGGAGAAUAAGCUCCGGCUAACUCCGUG
rnacentral:rRNA from 1 species